AACGAACGCUGGCGGCAUGCCUAACACAUGCAAGUCGAACGAGACCUUCGGGUCUAGUGGCGCACGGGUGCGUAACGCGUGGGAAUCUGCCCUUUGCUUCGGAAUAACAGUUAGAAAUGACUGCUAAUACCGGAUGAUGUCUUCGGACCAAAGAUUUAUCGGCAAAGGAUGAGCCCGCGUAGGAUUAGGUAGUUGGUGGGUAAAGGCCUACCAAGCCGACGAUCCUUAGCUGGUCUGAGAGGAUGAUCAGCCACACUGGGACUGAGACACGGCCCAGACUCCUACGGGAGGCAGCAGUGGGGAAUAUUGGACAAUGGGCGGCAAGGCCUGAUCCAGCAAUGCCGCGUGAGUGAUGAAGGCC
rnacentral:rRNA from 1 species